GGUUAAGCGACUAAGCGUACACGGUGGAUGCCCUGGCAGUCAGAGGCGAUGAAGGACGUGCUAAUCUGCGAUAAGCGUCGGUAAGGUGAUAUGAACCGUUAUAACCGGCGAUUUCCGAAUGGGGAAACCCAGUGUGUUUCGACACACUAUCAUUAACUGAAUCCAUAGGUUAAUGAGGCGAACCGGGGGAACUGAAACAUCUAAGUACCCCGAGGAAAAGAAAUCAACCGAGAUUCCCCCAGUAGCGGCGAGCGAACGGGGAGCAGCCCAGAGCCUGAAUCAGUGUGUGUGUUAGUGGAAGCGUCUGGAAAGGCGCGCGAUACAGGGUGACAGCCCCGUACACAAAAAUGCACAUGCUGUGAGCUCGAUGAGUAGGGCGGGACACGUGGUAUCCUGUCUGAAUAUGGGGGGACCAUCCUCCAAGGCUAAAUACUCCUGACUGACCGAUAGUGAACCAGUACCGUGAGGGAAAGGCGAAAAGAACCCCGGCGAGGGGAGUGAAAAAGAACCUGAAACCGUGUACGUACAAGCAGUGGGAGCACGCUUAGGCGUGUGACUGCGUACCUUUUGUAUAAUGGGUCAGCGACUUAUAUUCUGUAGCAAGGUUAACCGAAUAGGGGAGCCGAAGGGAAACCGAGUCUUAACUGGGCGUUAAGUUGCAGGGUAUAGACCCGAAACCCGGUGAUCUAGCCAUGGGCAGGUUGAAGGUUGGGUAACACUAACUGGAGGACCGAACCGACUAAUGUUGAAAAAUUAGCGGAUGACUUGUGGCUGGGGGUGAAAGGCCAAUCAAACCGGGAGAUAGCUGGUUCUCCCCGAAAGCUAUUUAGGUAGCGCCUCGUGAAUUCAUCUCCGGGGGUAGAGCACUGUUUCGGCAAGGGGGUCAUCCCGACUUACCAACCCGAUGCAAACUGCGAAUACCGGAGAAUGUUAUCACGGGAGACACACGGCGGGUGCUAACGUCCGUCGUGAAGAGGGAAACAACCCAGACCGCCAGCUAAGGUCCCAAAGUCAUGGUUAAGUGGGAAACGAUGUGGGAAGGCCCAGACAGCCAGGAUGUUGGCUUAGAAGCAGCCAUCAUUUAAAGAAAGCGUAAUAGCUCACUGGUCGAGUCGGCCUGCGCGGAAGAUGUAACGGGGCUAAACCAUGCACCGAAGCUGCGGCAGCGACGCUUAUGCGUUGUUGGGUAGGGGAGCGUUCUGUAAGCCUGUGAAGGUGUGCUGUGAGGCAUGCUGGAGGUAUCAGAAGUGCGAAUGCUGACAUAAGUAACGAUAAAGCGGGUGAAAAGCCCGCUCGCCGGAAGACCAAGGGUUCCUGUCCAACGUUAAUCGGGGCAGGGUGAGUCGACCCCUAAGGCGAGGCCGAAAGGCGUAGUCGAUGGGAAACAGGUUAAUAUUCCUGUACUUGGUGUUACUGCGAAGGGGGGACGGAGAAGGCUAUGUUGGCCGGGCGACGGUUGUCCCGGUUUAAGCGUGUAGGCUGGUUUUCCAGGCAAAUCCGGAAAAUCAAGGCUGAGGCGUGAUGACGAGGCACUACGGUGCUGAAGCAACAAAUGCCCUGCUUCCAGGAAAAGCCUCUAAGCAUCAGGUAACAUCAAAUCGUACCCCAAACCGACACAGGUGGUCAGGUAGAGAAUACCAAGGCGCUUGAGAGAACUCGGGUGAAGGAACUAGGCAAAAUGGUGCCGUAACUUCGGGAGAAGGCACGCUGAUACGUAGGUGAAGUCCCUCGCGGAUGGAGCUGAAAUCAGUCGAAGAUACCAGCUGGCUGCAACUGUUUAUUAAAAACACAGCACUGUGCAAACACGAAAGUGGACGUAUACGGUGUGACGCCUGCCCGGUGCCGGAAGGUUAAUUGAUGGGGUCAGCGCAAGCGAAGCUCUUGAUCGAAGCCCCGGUAAACGGCGGCCGUAACUAUAACGGUCCUAAGGUAGCGAAAUUCCUUGUCGGGUAAGUUCCGACCUGCACGAAUGGCGUAAUGAUGGCCAGGCUGUCUCCACCCGAGACUCAGUGAAAUUGAACUCGCUGUGAAGAUGCAGUGUACCCGCGGCAAGACGGAAAGACCCCGUGAACCUUUACUAUAGCUUGACACUGAACAUUGAGCCUUGAUGUGUAGGAUAGGUGGGAGGCUUNNNNNNNNNNNNNNNNNNNNNNNNNNNNNNNNNNNNNNNNNNNNNNNNNNNNNNNNNNNNNNNNNNNNNNNNNNNNNNNNNNNNNNNNNNNNNNNNNNAUCCGGGUUGCGGACAGUGUCUGGUGGGUAGUUUGACUGGGGCGGUCUCCUCCUAAAGAGUAACGGAGGAGCACGAAGGUUGGCUAAUCCUGGUCGGACAUCAGGAGGUUAGUGCAAUGGCAUAAGCCAGCUUGACUGCGAGCGUGACGGCGCGAGCAGGUGCGAAAGCAGGUCAUAGUGAUCCGGUGGUUCUGAAUGGAAGGGCCAUCGCUCAACGGAUAAAAGGUACUCCGGGGAUAACAGGCUGAUACCGCCCAAGAGUUCAUAUCGACGGCGGUGUUUGGCACCUCGAUGUCGGCUCAUCACAUCCUGGGGCUGAAGUAGGUCCCAAGGGUAUGGCUGUUCGCCAUUUAAAGUGGUACGCGAGCUGGGUUUAGAACGUCGUGAGACAGUUCGGUCCCUAUCUGCCGUGGGCGCUGGAGAACUGAGGGGGGCUGCUCCUAGUACGAGAGGACCGGAGUGGACGCAUCACUGGUGUUCGGGUUGUCAUGCCAAUGGCACUGCCCGGUAGCUAAAUGCGGAAGAGAUAAGUGCUGAAAGCAUCUAAGCACGAAACUUGCCCCGAGAUGAGUUCUCCCUGACUCCUUGAGAGUCCUGAAGGAACGUUGAAGACGACGACGUUGAUAGGCCGGGUGUGUAAGCGCAGCGAUGCGUUGAGCUAACCGGUACUAAUGAACCGUGAGGCUUAACCUU
rnacentral:rRNA from 1 species